GUGCCAGCAGCCGCGGUAAUACGGAGGGAGCUAGCGUUGUUCGGAAUUACUGGGCGUAAAGCGCACGUAGGCGGCUUUGUAAGUUAGAGGUGAUAGCCUGGAGCUCAACUCCAGAAUUGCCUUUAAGACUGCAUCGCUUGAAUCCAGGAGAGGUGAGUGGAAUUCCGAGUGUAGAGGUGAAAUUCGUAGAUAUUCGGAAGAACACCAGUGGCGAAGGCGUCUCACUGGACUGGUAUUGACGCUGAGGUGCGAAAGCGUGGGGAGCAAACAGGAUUAGAU
rnacentral:rRNA from 1 species